UACGUAGGGUGCAAGCGUUGUCCGGAAUCAUUGGGCGUAAAGGGCGUGUAGGCGGUUUUGUUAAGUCAUGUGUGAAAUCCCUCGGCUCAACCGGGGAACGACGCAUGAAACUGGCAAGCUAGAGUACCAAAGAGGGGGGGUGGAAUUCCCGGUGUAGCGGUGAAAUUCGUAGAUAUCAGGAGGAACACCAGUGGCGAAGGCGGCUUCCUGGACACCAACUGACGCUGAGACGCGAAAGCGUGGGGAGCAAACAGG
rnacentral:rRNA from 1 species